GACGGUUUGGCCGAGUGGUCUAAGGCGCCAGAUUUAGGCUGGUCGUCCGAAAGGGCGUGGGUUCAAAUCCCACAGCCGUCA
rnacentral:tRNA from 1 species